CAAUAGUUCUUUUUCCAUUAAGUUUCUUCCCUUCUCGUUUACAACUUGUGAUCAUUUAAAUUCUUCUGGAAUAAAGAGUUAAUAAUACGGAUGGAAUUCUUCUUAUAUCACAACGAAGUUUUAUGUUAUGCUCAUUUAAUAGAUACAAUAGAGGAUACAUUUAGUUUUCCAAUUCAGUAUCCUACUGUAUAUAUCAAUGAAAUUAUCAGUUGCAACGGCAAAAACGGCAGCUUUUGAACGCCUUUAUGCUGAACUGGAAGAGAAAGGCGGGGAUAGGAAAUUAUUCAAGCUAGCCAGGGCCCGGGAGAGAAGGGCACGCGAUGUGGAUCAAGUGAAGUGCAUUAAAGACGAACACGGAAAAGUAUUGGUAGAGGAGACCCUUAUCAAACAAAGAUGGCAGUCAUACUUCCAUAAACUUUUGAAUGACAAAGGGGACAGAGAAAUUGUGUUGGGAGAUUUGGAACAUACAGGAAGUAGUCACGAUAUUGGGGGUUGUAGGAGUAUUACGGGCGAUGAGGUUAAAGAUGCCGUUCGUAGGAUGCGCUGGGAAAGAGCGACCGGACUUGACGAGAUCCCUGGAGAAUUUUGGAAGAGUGCGGGCUCGGUAGAUUUGGAAUGGUUGACUAGGUUAUUUAAUGUAAUCUUUACGACGGCAACGAUGCCCAUAGAAUGGAGGUCGAGCAUCAUGAUCCCUCUAUACAAAAACAAGGGGGAUAGCCAGAGUUGCGACAACUAUAGAGGUAUCAAGCUUCUAAGCCAUACUAUGAAAGUGUGGGAAAGAGUGGUGGAGAUGAGGGUGAGGAGAGGCGUGUCUAUUUCAGAGAACCAGUUCGGAUUUAUGCUGGAACGCUCAACUACGGAAGCCAUCCAUCUUAUGAGGAGACUAAUGGAGCAAUAUAGGGAGAGGAAGAGAGACUUGCAUAUGGUAUUCAUCAACUUAGAAAAAGCCUAUGAUAAAGUCCCACGAGAGAUACUAUGGAGAUGUUUGGAGGCUAAAGGUGUACCUGUAGCAUACAUAAGGGUGAUCAAGGACAUGUACGAGGGUGCCAAAACCAGGGUAAGGACAGUAGGAGGGGAUUCAGAACACUUUCCAGUUGUGAUGGGGUUGCAUCAAGGAUCAGCUCUUAGUCCGUUUUUAUUUGCCUUGGUGAUGGAUGUAUUGACACGACAAAUUCAAGGUGAGGUGCCAUGGUGUAUGCUUUUUGCGGACGACAUUGUCCUCAUCGAUGAGACUCAUAGCGGAGUUAACGCUAAGCUGGAAGAUUGGAGACGCACCUUGGAGUCUAAAGGGUUUAAGUUGAGUAGGACCAAGACAGAGUACUUAAAGUGCCAGUUCAGUGAGACUCCUCAAGAGGUUGGCGCGGAAGUUAGGCUCGGGGACCAAGCCAUCCAAAAGAGAAGUAGUUUUAAGUACCUUAGUUCUAUCAUGCAAGGCAGCGGGGAGAUCGACGAGGAUGUCACACAUCGUAUUAGGGCAGGAUGGAUGAAAUGGAGGCUCGCCUCCGGUGUGUUAUGUGACAAGAAGGUGCCACCACGACUUAAGGGCAAGUUCUACAAAGUGGUAGUUAGACCAGCUAUGUUAUAUGGGGCGGAGUGUUGGCCAGUUAAGGUCUCCCACGUGUAAAAGAUGAAAGUUGCCGAGAUGAGAAUGUUGAGAUGGAUGUGUGGGCAUACCAGGAGCGACAGAAUUAGAAAUGAGGCUAUUCGAGACAAGGUAGGAGUGGCCCCGGUGGAAGACAAGAUGCGUGAAACGCGACUGAGAUGGUUUGGGCAUGUGAAGAGGAGAGUCCCAGAGGCACCAGUGCAGAGAUGUGAGAGGUUGGCCAUGGAUGGUUUCAGAAGAGGUAGGGGUAGGCCGAAGAAAUAUUGAGAAGAGGUGAUCAGACAGGACAUGGCGCAUUUACGACUUACCGAGGACAUGACCUUAGAUAGGAGGGUGUGGCGGAUACAUAUCAGGGUAGAAGGCUAGUACAUAGUGGCAUUAUUCCCCCUUAUCCGUAGGCGUAUUAACGCACUAUGAUUUCUUGUACUCUGAUUUAUGUUACUUAUGUUAUGUAUAUUAUGUUAUGCUAUCUUAUGUUAUUUAUGGUAUUAUUUGACGAUAUCUACUGUUUUUUUGAGCUUUGAUUAUACUAUUGUUUGGAACUCUUUCGUUAUCUACUUUCCUACUUUUAAUAUUCUUGUCUGACCUUUUUCCUAUGCUUCUAUUGAGCCGAGGGUCUUUCGGAAACAGCCGUCCUACAUUGGUAGGAGUCAGGUCUGCGUACACUUUACCCUCUCCAGACCCCACGAUGUGGGAUUUCACUGGGUUGUUGUUGUUGUUGUUGUUGUAAUGUUUUUGCAGUAUUGAUGGAAACAUCAGUUACAUGCCCUCUUUACUGCAAAGGUGAAAGGGCAAAAGAUAGUUGUGUUGUAGCCUUGCAGGUCACAUCUACUAUAUGCUAAACGUACUGCUAGCUCACUGUAAUAAUUGACCAUGAGUUGGUAGAUUGGCUAUUCUUGACAUUAUUUCCUUUAGUUUCUUCCUUGGUUAUGAGAUUCUUCUUGUUUCUCAGAUAAGCGACCAUGAAGGGGGGCCUCCAUAUAAAGUAUCAGUUUCCGAUUACGAAGAAGUCUUGCAUCCAAUGGGGAUCAGGGCAGAGUCGAUUGUGGAGAAUCACUUGGCUAUUCCACCUCGGAGAGGAAGAGAGAAGCUGGG